rnacentral:lncRNA from 1 species
AUACACCGCCUCGGGAACACCCAGGGCUCGGCCGGAGGAGCCGUGGGGCGCACGGGGAUUUUUGGGGGGGUUUGGACCACCCCGUUUAGGGUGCUCGGAUGGGAGCACCAAUAUCGGGCACGCUGCUGCCCUGGGGGAGGAGAAAAUUGGGGUAACUUUGCCCAAAGUGCCCCAAAAAGGUGCUCCUCCAGGCUCUGGGGGUGCCAACAAGGGGAGCUGUUAACCCUGAAACCUAAUGAUGGGUUUGGAGGAGGAAAGGGAAAGGGAAAGCUCUCCGGGAACAGCUCGGGGUUGGAUCAGGAACGUUUCUGGCUUGGGAUUUUGUCCCCCAUCGUGGAGAACCAGGUCGGGACGGGGCAGAGCAGCCAGCCCCCAUCCGGACACCUCCGCCAGGAGUUUUUGGACACCCCAAAUUCUGCUUUCAAUAGCCACGGGGAGACCUUCGCAGGGGGAACCUGCACCUGGGGACCCCUUGGAGAGCCCCCAAAACACUUCCAUCAGGGGUUAUACUGGGGGAUACUGGUUCUAGACUGGAUGAUUUGGGAGGUUUUUUCCAUUUUUAGUGAAUUUAUCCCGUGCUCAGCGGGUGCCAAAUGGGUGCAGCACGGUCUUGGAAGGGUGGUGGGAGCGCGGGGGCGCACGGGGAGGCUUCGCCUGGGUGCAGAGCAUUUUGCUGGCCACGGGAAGGACAAUUUGGGUUUUUAUUUAGGGGGAUCACGCAAAGCUGAGACGCUCGGAAAAAAAGCCGGGCGAGGGGGGACUCCUCCAAAAUGCUCCGGACCAUCCUCAGGCUCUGUUGGGGAGCCCAGCUCACAGAGGGGCUGGGGGGUCUGGAGGGCUCCAAAAACCCCAAUAGGGACAGGGACAGGGACACGGGUGGCACCGGCUGCUCAUUUUGGCCGAGUCACCUCCGGGAUGGAGGAGGUGAUGUCCGGAGGGACCCCGGCUCCCGGCACCGUGGGGAGGAGGCUGGGAGCCAGGGGGUGCCAGGAGGGGAUGGAAACGUCCGAGUUCAGCUUGUAA